UGGGGAAUAUUGGGCAAUGGGGGCAACCCUGACCCAGCGACGCCGCGUGGGGGAAGACGGCCUUCGGGUUGUAAACCUCUUUUGAACGGGAAGAAGGAAGUGACGGUACUGUACGAAUAAGUCCCGGCUAACUACGUGCCAGCAGCCGCGGUAAUACGUAGGGGACGAUCGUUGUCCGGAAUUACUGGGCGUAAGGGGCGCGCAGGCUGUGCUGCAAGUCAGCUGUUAAAUGUCUGGGCUUAAACCGGGCAUG
rnacentral:rRNA from 1 species